GAUGAACGCUGGCGGCGUGCUUAACACAUGCAAGUCGAACGGUAAGGCCCUUCGGGGUACACGAGUGGCGAACGGGUGAGUAACACGUGGGUGAUCUGCCCUGCACUUCGGGAUAAGCCCGGGAAACUGGGUCUAAUACCGGAUAGGACCACUGCCUGCAUGGGUGGUGGUGGAAAGCUUUUGCGGUGUGGGAUGGGCCCGCGGCCUAUCAGCUUGUUGGUGGGGUGAUGGCCUACCAAGGCGACGACGGGUAGCCGGCCUGAGAGGGUGACCGGCCACACUGGGACUGGGAUACGGCCCAGACUCCUACGGGAGGCAGCAGUGGGGAAUAUUGCACAAUGGGCGCAAGCCUGAUGCAGCGACGCCGCGUGAGGGAUGACGGCCUUCGGGUUGUAAACCUCUUUCAGCACCGACGAAGCGCAAGUGACGGUAGGUGCAGAAGAAGGACCGGCCAACUACGUGCCAGCCGCCGCCGUAA
rnacentral:rRNA from 1 species